AUUGAACGCUGGCGGCAGGCCUAACACAUGCAAGUCGAACGGUAACAGGAAGCAGCUUGCUGCUUCGCUGACGAGUGGCGGACGGGUGAGUAAUGUCUGGGAAGCUGCCUGAUGGAGGGUGAUAACUACUGGAAACGGUAGCUAAUACCGCAUAAUGUCGCAAGCCCAAAGAGGGGGACCUUCGGUCCUCUUGCCAUCGGAUGUGCCCAGAUGGUAUUAGCUUGUUGGUGGGGUAACGGCUCACCAAGGCGACGAUCCCUAGCUCGUCUGAGAGGAUGACAAGCCACACUGGAACUGGGACACGGUCCAGAGUCCUAAGGGAGGCAGCAGUGGGGAAUAUUGCACAAUGGGCGCAAGCCUGAUGCAGCCAUGCCGCGUGUAUGAAGAAGGCGUUCGGGUUGUAAAGUACGUUCAGGGGGGAGGAAGGGAGUAAAGUUAAUACCUUUGCUCAUUGACGUUACCCGCAGAAGAAGCACCGGCUAACUACGUG
rnacentral:rRNA from 1 species